CGGUGGAUAUCUGAGUCGCGAAGCCGCUCCAGCGCAUCGUGUGCCCAUUGCCAGUCUCCGCCGCCUCAGCAUCUAUCGAGAUCUGGAUCGCUACGUCGCCUACCUCAUGUUCCUGAUCGAGGUUCGAAGAACACUGCCCAG
rnacentral:ribozyme from 1 species